GGACCUUUAGCUCAGUUGGUUAGAGCCAACGGCUCAUAACCGUUCGGUCGCAGGUUCGAGUCCUGCAAGGUCCA
rnacentral:tRNA from 2 species